UGACCGUGGUAAAGUAGCAUAAUAAAUUGUCAUUUAAUUGGUGGAGUGUAUGAAUGGUAAUACGAUUACUUCAUUGUCUCAGAUAAAAUUCUUUAAAAUUGAAAUAAUAGUGAAGAUUCUAUUAGAAAUCGUAAGACGAAAAGACCCUAUAGAGCUUAACUAUAGCUCUAAAUAAAUUUAGAGUUGGUAGUUUAGUUGGGGCGACUAUCUUUUAUAAUCAACAAAGAUAAGUAAUAUUAAUAAAUUUAAUUUAUUGUUUAAUUUAUAAAUUUAACAAUUAAGAAAUUAGGCUAUAUUGACCCAUUAAGUAAGAAUUAAUAACUUAAUGAAAAAUAAAUAAAAGUUACCGUAGGGAUAACAGAG
rnacentral:rRNA from 1 species